GAAAUGCGGGCUAGCAGCGACAGCUGUGUUUAUUCACUCUGGUGGCCUAUGUCUAGCCUGGAUAAAGGACCUGUUUAAUUAUAACUGACCUUAUGCAGCCAUUAGCUAUUUUUUGUUGUCACAGAUUUGAAGAGGAGUAGCUCACACAGUGGAAGAUCAGAAGGCAUCUUGAGAAACAGCUUUGUAGCUCAUAUACGGAAUGCUUGAAUUUAUGGUCUCUUUUAUAUUACAGUUUACCAAAGUAACUCUUAACAGCUAACUUUUGGGAUUGCUUAUGUUAAGUAUGAUAUAUGGAGGAUGGACUGAUAGCUCAGUGGUUAAGAGCAUUUGUUCUUAUAGACCACAUGGGUUCACUUCCUAGCACUCACAUGGUGGCUCAAAACUAUCUGUAGCUCAGGUUCCAGGAGAUCCAAUCCCAACUUCUGACCUCUGUGGGCAUCAAGCACACACAUUAUAGAUAUAUACAUCCAGGCCAAACACUCACACAUGUUAACUAAAUAAAUCUAAAAAUAAAGAAAGGAAAAGGAAAAAAGGAAGAAAAAGAAAAAAAUAUGCUUUAUGCUGAAAUCUAUAUUUUUCUGCAGAUCUGCUUUUAUUCUUUCAAGAUACAAUUGCAACAAGUUGAUAAAGGAUGCCUGGGCCAGUCUUACAAAAAGCAAUUAGAAGCAGUCACACACUUUUAAGUUGCAUGCUAGCUGAUUCCUGGAACUCAUGAGAGACUGGGUCUUUCUAACGUUUGUCCUCAUUGUUUAGGCUAUUAUUGGCAUUCUAAAGAGUGAACUGUGGUAAAUAUCACCAUCUAAAUGCAUAGUAAUUAAAAGACUCCAUAAGACAAGUUUGGGUCAAUUCCAUAGCAAAUUCAAGGGAAGAAGUAACAUUAAAUCCUAAGAGCAAGACCUGAAUAUCAGCCAGAUUCAAGCUGUAGAGACUUAAAAGAACUGAGAUAGGAAAGGACAAGGAGAAAAUUCAGGAUUGUGGACUCUGUGAAUGGGGUAGAAGUGUCCAUAAGUGUGGCUUAUGGCUCUUAGCCUCCUUUGGUGAGGCAGAAAUUGGCUCCAUUAAGAUGUCUCUGGAAAGUGUUACUCUGGCCUCUUCUCAUAAAAGUCAUGGCCUCUUGAGAGACUGAGAAUAGCUUUGAAAACAGAAGUCCAUCUGGUCCUCAGUAACCUGGGAGUGCUGUGGCAAAUGGAGAGGCCCCAGGAGUGUGCGGGGCUGAGGCUUUCUCUCAGGGCCAGGUUCUCUGCCAGGAGAGGAGCUGCUGAUGCCCUUCUUCAGUGAGAUGCUCUUAUGAUGCUUGAGCAAACUGAACUUCUGGGGCUUUCUUCCUUUCAGUCCUUCUCUUGUCAAAAUAGCAUCUUGCUUGCUGAGACUCCAGGUUUUCUGACUUAUCCAAUUAAAGAAAAAUCUGUGUUCUUAUUAGAGACAAAAAAGGUAACCAGGCAAAGAAGCUAUGGAAUGAAAAUGAUGGAAUAACAUUUCCAGCCAGACAGGCUGUUAUUGUAUCUGUUAGUUUUUUGAGACGUUAAAAGAACUAAUGUAGCCCAUUUUGACUUUGGAUUUGCUAUGUAGCACAGGCUAGCUUUUGACCCUGGUUUCACUUGCCUUGACCUACCAAGUUCUGGGAUUGCAAUGUUUUCUGAUGUGUUCAGCUACAUGGACAAUUUAGGCAUUUGACUUAGAGUACUAGAAAAUGUUUAUACAUGAAUGGAUGGUUGGGAAUGGAGCCUGAGCAAUAUGGAUUGUAGAGGAUCAUAUAUAUGUGUGUGUGUGUGUGUGUAUGUAUAUAUGUGUAUAUAUAUAUAUUAAUAAAAGGUUUUAAAUAUAUGCUAUAUAUAUAUAUGUAUGUAUGCAUAUACAUACAUAUACCAUAUAUUAUAUACUAAACUCUAUGCUUAGAAUUUAAUAUUUUAAUGUAAAAUGCAUAUUUACAAUCAGACAAGUCAGGAGUUUCAUAAUAAACUCUCAGAUUUGGGCUGUUUAUUUAUUUAGUCAAUAAACAUUGAAUGCUUAGUAAACUGAUGACCCCAUUUGGCAACAUAGCCUGAAGCAGACAGUAUUUCUGCGCAGUCACUAAGGGUCUGGAUCCAGGAUAAAAUGUGAGUGCAGAACCAAAAUUAAGCAGAGACUAAAAGUGAUAUACUGGCCGUGGUUAGAGCCCAUUUGUAAACACUAUGCUAUAUGCCUCCCAUGUAUUACCUCACAUCAUCCACAGGAUUCUGUAUGGGAGAUAUAAUGCCCAAUAUGCAGACAUGAGAACUGAAGAUCUUAGCUGUAGAAUGUCUUACCCAGUGCUGUAGAAAUUGUGAUUCUGAGAAUAAUGACUUUCACCUGAUGGCUGCUUGCCUGCCUGCCUGGUAACAAUGGGGUUGAAGUACUUAGCUGUGUGUGUGUGAGCAAUUGUGUGUCUCAAUCACCAAGCACUUACAUUCAUAAGGCAUGUCAUAUUUAAACCAUCUUUAGAGUCUCCAAGCAGCUCAAAUUUUGCCUUACAUUUCAAUACUUUCUGGCAACUAUACAACUAACUGCUUGGGUGACGAUUGGAUGAGCUUAAUACUAGCUAAAAGACCGAGUAAAGGGCAAUAGAUGUAAAUCCCUAAAGCUAGUUUUCAGAUCAUGGUUCAUGAAAAUUAUUUCAGUGGUGUCCAUGAGUGGAGUAAAUUGGACAAAUGAAUGAAGCAGCACUGGGAGGGGGGGGGGGGGAGUCCAGACAAUCAGUGUGAUGGAAAGACAUUAGCAAGAUGGAUGGGGUGAUUGUCUUUGGAAUGCUGAUGCAGUACAGAAUAAUAUGAGACUACAUACAAUACAGGACCAGUGAGGAUAGAAACAGAUGAUACAAAGAUGUUCCUGAAAAGCUAAAAACCUGGAUGCCUGGGACACUGUACUGCCUGCAAUGUGAGAGCCACCCGGAGGACAGGGCUUCUCUUUCCUUUGGACUUCCUUCCCUUGUGAUUAAUACUUCAGUUUCACACAGCGGUUAAGUUUUACAUUACAUGGCUCUGGGCAGUCACAAAGUGGAACUGAGUCGUUACUCUUCUCCAGUAGUUAAGCUAAGCUCACAUGCUUUCAGUCUUCACCCCAUAGAACAGAGUCUAGAGACAGGUGGCCAGCCAGACAUUGAUAUACUCCUCUUAGAACGUUCUUGAGUUGAGCUUGCUCAGUCCUUGGCUGCCCAGAUUAUUAAAAGAAAACAAUAGCUCCCAAAUAAUGCAUUAUAAGUGGGUGAACCCAUCAUGUCUGCUUAAAUGCUCACAGAAGAUUAAAAGCUGAGAUCGUUCCAAUUAAAUCUCACCUUUCUUUUUCAAAAAUAAAUAUUUGGGUUUUUGUUUCAUGUGUUUGGCUCACACCUGUGUUUGUAUACCACAUAAAUUCCUGGUGCCUGCAGAGGCCGGAGAGGGAACUGGAUCUUCUAGAAUGUGUUAGUGAGAGUUCGAGGCACAAGGGCAUGCACAUGAGCUCAUGUGCACACAUGCAUGCAGAUACACAAUUAAGAAAAAUAAUAAAUUUUUAAACUGUUUCCUUAUUUUUACUUAAGAAUGCAUUCAAAAUUAUUCCCCAGAUUUUACUAACGUAAUAAAAAUAUGUAGAGAAUGUAGAAAACUAUCCCCAAAGAACAAAGAAAUCUGAUUAAAACAUUCAGUAUUAUAAUUUUAAAAGAACUUUAAUAAUAAUUUUACCCUGUAGAGAGAUUUUUUUUAUCUUUAAAGGAAAAUGUUUAUUAACUCAAAUCAACUUCUAAAUUAGUGGGCUGUCAGUUCAUAUGAAAAAGUGAAGC
rnacentral:lncRNA from 1 species